UCGAACGCGUCUUGGUUAUUGAUGUUAAGUGCUUGCAUUUAACUGAUUUAACAUUGAGACGAGUGGCGAACUGGUGAGUAACACGUGGGUAACCUGCCCUUGAAGUAGGGGAUAACACUUGGAAACAGGUGCUAAUACCGUAUAACAACCAAAACCACCUGGUUUUGGUUUAAAAGAUGGCUUCGGCUAUCACUUUAGGAUGGACCCGCGGCGUAUUAGCUUGUUGGUAAGGUAACGGCCUACCAAGGCAAUGAUACGUAGCCGACCUGAGAGGGUAAUCGGCCACAUUGGGACUGAGACACGGCCCAAACUCCUACGGGAGGCAGCAGUAGGGAAUCUUCCACAAUGGACGAAAGUCUGAUGGAGCAACGCCGCGUGAGUGAUGAAGGGUUUCGGCUCGUAAAACUCUGUUGUUGGAGAAGAACAGGUGUGAGAGUAACUGUUCACAUCUUGACGGUAUCCAACCAGAAAGCCACGGCUAACUACGUGCCAGCAGCCGCGGUAAUACGUAGGUGGCAAGCGUUGUCCGGAUUUAUUGGGCGUAAAGCGAGCGCAGGCGGUUUCUUAGGUCUGAUGUGAAAGCCUUCGGCUUAACCGGAGAAGUGCAUCGGAAACCAGGAGACUUGAGUGCAGAAGAGGACAGUGGAACUCCAUGUGUAGCGGUGAAAUGCGUAGAUAUAUGGAAGAACACCAGUGGCGAAGGCGGCUGUCUGGUCUGUAACUGACGCUGAGGCUCGAAAGCAUGGGUAGCGAACAGGAUUAGAUACCCUGGUAGUCCAUGCCGUAAACGAUGAGUGCUAAGUG
rnacentral:rRNA from 1 species